CUGAUUAAUGAAAUUACUGUUUUCCUUUUACCACAGAUGUCAGUUUUGUUUAACCUUAAACUAUAAAAUACAUAGAUAUAUCUGUAUACUGUUUACAGAUGGAUAAUAAUAUCACCAUCUUACAUUUAAGUAAUGCUUUAAAGUUUUUCAAAGCAUUUUUACUCACACUAUCUUCCACAUAUAUUAUCUCCUAGGAUUCUGGCAAGAAGAGGCCAGUGAGGGAGCCAGGGCAAGUACUGCUUACAUUUCACACAUGCAGGAAGGGACGCUAAGAGAGGUUUAUACAACUUGCAAGGUAAAGCACUGAUUAAGAUCUUGUGACUUUUAUUUCAGUGAUUUUUUACUUUAUAUCAUGUUGCUUCUCACUAUAUUAUGUUGAUAGCUGAAGUGUCAUUAUCCAGCUUCCUUUAUAGGAUUCUCUUGAUGAGGCUGGUUGAACUGACCCCUCCAUCAAUGGACCAGUCUAAAGGGGCAAGAAUCUUCCCACAUUUCACAUAUGGUUUGAUUACCUCUGUCCUAAGAGAACAAUCUACUAUCGGGGUAUGAAAAACAUGAUUAGAAAACACUAUGCCAUUAUGUUACUCUGUCAAAAAGCCAUGUUUCACACCUCUCCAAGUAAAAAGAAACUUCAAAAAAGUCCCAAAUAAAAUAAUCCUAAUAAUGCAUGCUCUCGUUAAAAUUGGAUACCUUUUGUCUGUUUCUUCAUUGAGGUGAAGAAUGUUGCCUGGAUUCCUUCCAUUUAAAAACUUGAAGUCAGAUCUGUGGCUGAACUCCAGAUCUGAUUUUAGCCUUGGGGAAGCAAAGAGGACAAAACUCAAAAGCUCAACUUUCUGGAUGGCAUGGAUGAUUCAAUGAACUCUUUUUUGUUUCUGAGUCUGUUGGCCAGGAGACCUGGAUAUGAUAGGGCUUCAAUUCCUCAGGCGGGAUAGAAUCUGGGGCAUUGCUCAUAAGGUCAUGCCCCUGGAAAGAUUUGGGGAAGGCUAUGACAUCUCUGAUGCUUGGCGCUCCAGUGACAAGGCACAUCAGUCUGUCUAACCCUGUAAAAUACAAAGUUAAUAGAUGAGAAUGUAACCUAAGGUUGGGGGUGACUUAAUUUUUCUAUAAAGGUUGUAGAAAACUUUUAAGUAAGAACCUUUAAUAAGUUGCAGCUAAGCAUAGUUCCCUGCCUUUUUAGAGAACUUUUGUUUGUAUGAGAGGUUUCUUUUAUCUCAUUCCAGAAAAGUGCUCAGGACUAAUAUUCACAUGCUACUGGAUUAAUCACAGCAAUUAAUGAGUCCUGAGCAAGGGCUUACUGAAGGUUGAACAAAAUUAAGUGCUGUGCAGGGGACUCCAAAAACACAGAAGGAAGUCCCUAUUGUUGAGAGCCUACAAUCUAGGGAUACAUAUGGCUUUGAUGGUUCCUUGGGGUUUACUAAGCGCAUCUUGAAGAAAUCCAACCUCUGUGUUUCUGAACAUAUCACUGAUAUCUACAAUCUGGAAAGUGGAUAACAGAAAAAGGGCCUCUCACUAUUGUGGCCUCUCCCGUUGCGGAGCACAGGCUUCGGACGCGCAGGCUCAGCAGCCAUGGCUCACAGGCCCAGCCUCUCCACGGCAUGUGGGAUCUUCCCGGAUCGGGGCACAAACCCGUGUCCCCUGCAUCGGCAGGCGGACUCUCAACCACUGCGCCACCAGGGAAGCCCAUAACAAUAAACUUCUUAAUUUGAAACGUCAAACAUACUUAUCCAACAUGCUUCAUUUAUUCUAACCACAGCAUCAAAGAGGCUUGGAGAUAACAGGAGGAAACUUCUAUUACCUCAUCCUGAGGAAUGAUAACUUGAACAAGCCCAUGGAAAUC